GCAUAACAGAUAAAAAGUUUUGGCUUCUUCUUCAUUUCAAAAGGUUUUGACCUCCCUGCUUCAAAGUCACGAGCUUGUGUUCCUAUUUCAAGUGAUCUUCCUACAACAAAUCACUUUGAAAUCUGUAGACUAGACUAAUGUUCUUGGUAUAAACUCUUUGGGAAAAAUAGCCAAGGGUAAUGUAUUUUCUCCUUUAGAAUUUUGCUUUCUUUCUAGCCAUUUUUGGCUUAAGUUUCUGCUCCAUCUCUGCCUUUGUUUUUCAUCCAUUAAACUAGCUUCCGACGUUUCAAAUUAAUAAAAUCAUUUUGAUUCAAUGCCAAAAGAUCCUGCCUAAAGUUUCAAAUAGAAAAAUCUUAGUUUGUCACUAUAAAUAUCAGCCCUUGCACUCAAUUUUGGGAGAGAACUUUAUGGCCAUCCAUACUCUUGUAAAUACUAAUAUUUUGGUCUAUAAGAUCUCAUCUUUACACUCUCAUUCAAUCUCUGCCGAGAUUCUAGUUCCGAGCAUGUUCGAACUCAUCUUUGCUCGAGUGUAUACUUGUGAUCGAAGCGCCUCGUUCACUGCUUCGCUACAGGGACAGACUCUCCAUCCUAUUCGUGUGGCUAGUUGGUGAUUGUCGAAUAUUGUGUGGUGAGUCCUCAUGCUUCAAGGGUAAGCCGAGUCUAUCUUUCCUUUUCUUGGUACAUUGAGACUAUUCCACAUUAUGCCAUUACUUUCUUUGAGGGUGAGCUAGGAACAUGUCCUAGUCCCCACCUAUGUUAGCUCAUGUAGAGGUAUGUUGUAUAUGCGUAUGGAGUCUAUGUUGUCUUACUUCAUUCUAGUUAUGCUUUGUUUCUUGGA